rnacentral:rRNA from 1 species
UGGGGAAUUUUGGACAAUGGGCGAAAGCCUGAUCCAGCAAUGCCGCGUGUGUGAAGAAGGCCUUCGGGUUGUAAAGUACUUUUGUCCGGAAAGAAAUCCUUGGCUCUAAUACAGUCGGGGGAUGACGGUACCGGAAGAAUAAGCACCGGCUAACUACGUGCCAGCAGCCGCGGUAAUACGUAGGGUGCAAGCGUUAAUCGGAAUUACUGGGCGUAAAGCGUGCGCAGGCGGUUUGCUAAGACCGAUGUGAAAUCCCCGGGCUCAACCUGGGAACUGCAUUGGUGACUGGCAGGCUAGAGUAUGGCAGAGGGGGGUAGAAUUCCACGUGUAGCAGUGAAAUGCGUAGAGAUGUGGAGGAAUACCGAUGGCGAAGGCAGCCCCCUGGGCCAAUACUGACGCUCAUGCACGAAAGCGUGGGGAGCAAACAGGAUUAGAUACCCUGGUAGUCCACGCCCUAAACGAUGUCAACUAGUUGUUGGGGAUUCAUUUCCUUAGUAACGUAGCUAACGCGUGAAGUUGACCGCCUGGGGAGUACGGUCGCAAGAUUAAAACUCAAAUGAAUUGACGGGGUCAUAGCUGUUU